GGGGAUGUGGCUCAGUGGCAGAGUGCCUGCCUUGCAUGUUGGAGGUACUGGGUUCGAUCCUCAGCACCACA
rnacentral:tRNA from 1 species